rnacentral:tRNA from 1 species
GGUCAGGUAGCUCAGUUGGUAGAGCAGGGGAUUGAAAAUCCCCGUGCCGGGGGUUCGAGUCCCUCUCUGACCA